rnacentral:rRNA from 1 species
CAGCCGCCACGGGAAUACGAAGGGUGCAAGCGUUACUCGGAAUUACUGGGCGUAAAGCGUGCGUAGGUGGUGGUUUAAGUCCGUUGUGAAAGCCCUGGGCUCAACCUGGGAAUUGCAGUGGAUACUGGGUCACUAGAGUGUGGUAGAGGAUAGUGGGAUUUCCGGUGUAGCAGUGAAAUGCGUAGAGAUCGGAAGGAACAUCUGUGGCGAAGGCGACUAUCUGGGCCAACACUGACACUGAGGCACGAAAGCGUGGGGAGCAAACAGGACUAGAUACCCCCGUAGUCCCUGUCUCUUAUAC